rnacentral:rRNA from 1 species
UACGUAGGGGGCUAGCGUUGUCCGGAAUUAUUGGGCGUAAAGAGCUCGUAGGCGGUCUGUCGCGUCGAUCGUGAAAACUUGGGGCUUAACCCUGAGCUUGCGGUCGAUACGGGCAUGACUGGAGUUCGGCAGGGGAGACUGGAAUUCCUGGUGUAGCGGUGAAAUGCGCAGAUAUCAGGAGGAACACCGGUGGCGAAGGCGGGGCUCUGGGCCGAUACUGACGCUGAGGAGCGAAAGCGUGGGGAGCGAACAGG